GACGAACGCUGGCGGCGUGCUUAACACAUGCAAGUCGAACGGAAAGGCCCUGCUUUUGUUGGGUGCUCGAUUGGCGAACGUGUGAGUAACACUUGAGUAACCUGCCCUUGUCUUUUUGAUAACUUCAGGUAACUUGUGCUAAUACCGUAUAGGAUCUCCUGCUGCAUGGUUGUGGUUGGAAAGUUUCGGCGGUUGGGGAUUGUCUCGCUGCUUAUCAGCUUGUUGGUGGGGUAGUUGCUUACCAAGGCUUUGACGGGUAGCCGGCAUGAGAGGGUGACCGGAGAAAAUGGGACUGAGAUAGGGAGCAGAAUGCAACGGGAGGCAGCAGGGGGGAAUAUUGAAGAAUGGGAGGAAGAGUGAAGCAGGAAAGGGGCGUGCGGGAUGACGGCGUUCGGGUUGUAAAACGAUUUGGAAGGUGACGAAGAGUGAGUGACGGUAAUGGGUAAAGAAGCACCGGCUAACUACGUG
rnacentral:rRNA from 1 species